rnacentral:ribozyme from 1 species
UUUUUUUUUUUUUUUUUUUUUUUUUUUUUCC